UACAGUGAUGCUGAAGUGUGGUGUAGAUGCCAAUCCUGCUGCCCAUACAUAUAACUUCUACUUUAAUGGCAAACUUAUUGGUAACAGCAGCUCUGGUGUGUUUAACAUCACUGUGAAAGAAGAUUGAGAGUACACUUGCAUUCCUAUCAACAGCGUAGGUGCAGGAAGCAAUGCUAGCUGUCUGUAUCACGUCUGUUGUGGCUCCAUCAGUGCAUGUGUCAAUCUCUGCAGUGGUUAUAGAAGAAGGAGGUAACAUUAAAAAAAUUUUCAUUGAGCUCUAAUGUAUCUGGUAAACCUAAAUCCAGCAUAUCAUGGACUAGAAUUGGUAGUUCCAAAGUUCUCUCUAUUACCAUCAUUAACCAUUGUGGAUAUGAACAGACCCAGGACAGCCGACAACAUAAUCCAGUAUCGAUGUACAGUCAGUAAUGAAGUGGGUGUCGAGUUAUUCAAGAGACAACAGCGCGCUUGCGUUCAUAAACUGCCAUGUUUUAUUCUCCUCCCCAUUUCUCCAGUGCGCAUGCCUAAAUACCGAACAACACACGCACGUGACACAUAAGAUCAAAGUUCAGUAACACAACAGUGGGGACACCAGCUACAGCUGCAGUUAAUGUUACUGUUCACUACCAACCACAGCCAUCCAUACAACUUCGCCCUAGUCCAGCAACUGAAGGAGACAAUGUAACAUCAUAUGAUGAACCUUUGUACACUUGGCAGUAUUUGUGUUAACAAUCAUAGUUAUUUUUGUU